rnacentral:rRNA from 1 species
UCGAGCGGACAGAUGGGAGCUUGCUCCCUGAUGUUAGCGGCGGACGGGUGAGUAACACGUGGGUAACCUGCCUGUAAGACUGGGAUAACUCCGGGAAACCGGGGCUAAUACCGGAUGGUUGUUUGAACCGCAUGGUUCAAACAUAAAAGGUGGCUUCGGCUACCACUUACAGAUGGACCCGCGGCGCAUUAGCUAGUUGGUGAGGUAAUGGCUCACCAAGGCAACGAUGCGUAGCCGACCUGAGAGGGUGAUCGGCCACACUGGGACUGAGACACGGCCCAGACUCCUACGGGAGGCAGCAGUAGGGAAUCUUCCGCAAUGGACGAAAGUCUGACGGAGCAACGCCGCGUGAGUGAUGAAGGUUUUCGGAUCGUAAAGCUCUGUUGUUAGGGAAGAACAAGUACCGUUCGAAUAGGGCGGUACCUUGACGGUACCUAACCAGAAAGCCACGGCUAACUACGUGCCAGCAGCCGCGGUAAUACGUAGGUGGCAAGCGUUGUCCGGAAUUAUUGGGCGUAAAGGGCUCGCAGGCGGUUUCUUAAGUCUGAUGUGAAAGCCCCCGGCUCAACCGGGGAGGGUCAUUGGAAACUGGGGAACUUGAGUGCAGAAGAGGAGAGUGGAAUUCCACGUGUAGCGGUGAAAUGCGUAGAGAUGUGGAGGAACACCAGUGGCGAAGGCGACUCUCUGGUCUGUAACUGACGCUGAGGAGCGAAAGCGUGGGGAGCGAACAGGAUUAGAUACCCUGGUAGUCCACGCCGUAAACGAUGAGUGCUAAGUGUUAGGGGGUUUCCGCCCCUUAGUGCUGCAG